GGUAGAGCGUCGUGUCUUACCCUGGGGGGUAGAGCACUGUUUGGGCUAGGGGGUCAUCCCGACUUACCAACCCCAUGCAAACUCCGAAUACCCAGGAGUACAAUCACGGCAGACAGACGGCGGGUGCUAACGUCCGUCGUCGAGAGGGCAACAACCCAGACCGCCAGCUAAGGUCCCAAAUACCAAUUAAGUGGGAAACGAUGUGGGAAGGCUUAGACAGCUAGGAGGUUGGCUUAGAAGCAGCCAUCCUUUAAAGAAAGC
rnacentral:ncRNA from 1 species